rnacentral:tRNA from 1 species
AUUAAGUUAGUUUAAUUAACAAAACAUCAAGUUGUGGUCUUGAAAAUAAAUAAAAAAUUUACUUAAUA